GGAAGCUUUGAAACCCGCCUGAGGUUCUGCAUUGGCUCUGAAUGAAAGGUGUUGUGCGUCUGAAGUGCCCGGCCCAAGGGCUCUCCAGCAAUGCAAACAGCCAGCACACAAAGCCAUUAAAGCUCGAGUGCCUGGCCAUGAUUGCCUGAAGACAGUUUGCAGCUGAGUCCCGCAGGAACCGGCUUUGUCUGAAAAACCACCCGAGGCAGGUGGGGAAAGUCCAGCCAUCCACGACUUGUCCUGCAGCCAAGAGGGUCCAGGUCAGUGCUGGGGAGCAGGACUGUGCUGCCACAGGGAUCUCCACACUGCAGCCCUUGCCCUGCAGCCAAAGCAGGUGAGGGCAGUGCCCUCUGAAGCAGGAGGACACCUCCAUGUGUGCCACUGUCCUUGGAUGAGGGAGGAUGGCAGGAGAAGAGGGCCAAGGCAUCCCUGGAGAAGUCCUGCAAGCUCCCAGCUUGCCAUUUGUGCCAUCCUGGCAUUUCCCUGCUAUCUCCUGGUGCUGAAGGACAGCUCAAACGCCUCGUUAAUCACCGCUGAUGACGGAGCUGUGGCACUCAGGUCCUGCUGGCUGCUGCUUCCCCAGCCAGGGAUGUUUUGCCGAUGCUGCUCCCUGAAAACUCCAGCUGAAAACUGGGGGAAAACUGCCCCCCUCGGAGCUGUAGUUUGUGGAAGAUGUUCCUACUCUGUUCCAGUCUCUCAUUCCUGCUCAUAGGGCACACAGUGAGUUGUGCCCUUGCAAACCUGCAUCUUUUUACAGUACAUUUUUCCCUUCUCUGUGCUUGUCAAGAUCGAGGGCAGCUCCGUGGUGGGCUGAUCUGCUGCUGCAUUGAUCUGGCAAAGGCUGGGGGUGAAAGCCCCACAGCCUCCAGACGAGGCCAUAGAGCUUUCAGGAUGCAGUUUUUCCGAAUCUGUCCAUCACACAGCAAACAAACACCCCCAGCCUGGAGGCAGCUGGCUCGGGGGUGAGCAUCGAUCGCUGGCUGCUGGGUGAGACCCACCAGAACCCCACCGGUGUCAGGAGGCAGCUCCAGCCCUCCCAGCUCCCAAUCACAGGGCUGGGAAGGAAAGCCAGCCUUCUCAGGAAUCAAUCAUUUGACAUCUGCUGUCAGCCUUCUGACACCCAGCCCCGCCGGUGAGGACCCCAGCAGGAAGCCUGGUGGAUCUCAGCUUGUUUUGGUCUUAA
rnacentral:lncRNA from 1 species